rnacentral:rRNA from 1 species
GAAUAUUGUUCCCUUCCCAACAAAUGUUGAAUGUUACAAACUGUUUCCUCGGGCGGGAUCUCUGCCCCGGGUGCGUCGCAACCCCGGACCAAGGCGCCCGCCGGAGGACCAACCAAAACUCUUAUUGUAUACCCCCUCGCGGGUUUUUUUAUAAUCUGAGCCUUCUCGGCGCCUCUCGUAGGCGUUUCGAAAAUGAAUCAAAACUUUCAACAACGGAUCUCUUGGUUCUGGCAUCGAUGAAGAACGCAGCGAAAUGCGAUAAGUAAUGUGAAUUGCAUAAUUCAUUGAAUCAUCGAAUCUUUGAACGCACAUUGCGCCCGCCAGUAUUCUGGCGGGCAUGCCUGUCCGAGCGUCAUUUCAACCCUCGAACCCCUCCGGGGGGUCGGCGUUGGGGAUCGGCCCUGCCUUGGCGGUGGCCGUCUCCGAAAUACAGUGGCGGUCUCGCCGCAGCCUCUCCUGCGCAGUAGUUUGCACACUCGCAUCGGGAGCGCGGCGCGUCCACAGCCGUUAAACACCCAACUUCUGAAAUGUUGACCUCGGAUCAGGUAGGAAUACCCGCUGAACUUAAGCAUAUCAAUAAGCGGAGGAA